CGCAGCCGCGGUAAUUCCAGCUCCAAUAGCGUAUAUUAAAGUUGUUGCAGUUAAAAAGCUCGUAGUUGAAUUUCGGGAUUGGCGCAUCGGUCGUGCCUCACGGGGUAUGAACUGGUGCAGUCAAUUUCUCACCUUCUGGAGAACCGCGAUGUCCUUAAUUGGAUGCCGCGGGGAACCAGGACCUUUACUUUGAAAAAUUAGAGUGUUUAAAGCAGGCAUUUUUGCUUGAAUACAUUAGCAUGGAAUAAUAAAAUAGGACGGCAUGGUUCUAUUUUGUUGGUUUCUAGGACCACCGUAAUGAUUAAUAGGGAUAGUUGGGGGCAUUAGUAUUCAAUUGUCAGAGGUGAAAUUCUUGGAUUUAUUGAAGACUAACUACUGCGAAAGCAUUUGCCAAGGAUGUUUUCAUUAAUCAAGAACGAAAGUUAGGGGAUCGAAGACGAUCAGAUACCGUCGUAGUCUUAACCAUAAACUAUGCCGACUAGGAAUCAGACGAUGUUAAUUUUUAAUGUACUUCG
rnacentral:rRNA from 1 species